rnacentral:sRNA from 2 species
UAGAUACAUUUCAUUUAAUGACCAAAAUUAUGUGAAGUAUUCUCUCUUGCUUUUUGAUUCAGCAUGAACAAGGCGCUUAUAUGAACUUGUUAGAAAAUCAUUAUCCUGCUGCAGAAGUUUAUUUCUCCGUUCUAGACUUCUAAGCCGCACUUCAAUUUCUGCCAUCUGACUGUGGCAGCUUCUCUGAGCAUGUAUUAGUGUUUUCAUUCGUUGAUGGUACUCUUCCUCCAAGAGUCCUCUUGAAUUUUCAAUUUCAAUAUAACAUUUGCGGAUAUCAGAGAGUUUUUUGGAGAGAUCUUGAAAUUCUUUGCUGUUUUUAGCACAAUGAACCUUGAAAAAUAAAAACAUUGAAAAAAUAUGAUGUAUUCUUACCACUCAUGGUUAUAUGGAAAGAGAAAUUGUAAUUGGU